GACGAACGCUGGCGGCGUGCCUAAUACAUGCAAGUAGGACGCAGUUGCGAACGGGUGAGUAACGCGUAGGUAACUACCUAUUAGAGGGGGAUAACUAUUGGAAACGAUAGCUAAUACCGCAUACUAGUAGAUGGACCUGCUUUGUAUUAGGUAGUAGGUCGGGUAAUGGCCUACCUAGGCAACGAUCCAUAGCCGACCUGGAGGGGAGGUGGGGCAAACGGGGACUGGGGAACGGCCCAGACUCCUACGGGAAGCAGCAAGAGGGAAUCAUCGGAAAUGGGGGGAACGCUGAACGAGGAACGGCGCGUGAGUGGAGAAGGUUUUCGGGUCUUAAAGCUAUGUUGUGAAGGGAGCGGUACUUAACCAGAAAGGGACGGCUAACUACGUGCCAGCAGCCGCGGUAAUUC
rnacentral:rRNA from 1 species